GCCUUCGUAGUGUAGUCGUCAGCACGCUGGGCGCGUAUUCCAGAGGUCCGUGGUUCGAUUCCCGGCGAAGACG
rfam:Stegodyphus mimosarum contig37752, whole genome shotgun sequence.